rnacentral:lncRNA from 1 species
CUUUUGGUGUAGGUCAAGAUUUCUGGAAACCCCCAGAAUCUGGGUUAGCCCACUUGUCCUUAAAAGUGACCAAUUGUAGCCCUUGAAAUGACCUUCCCAUGGGGGGAAAAAAACACCCUCUUUUUGUACUUUAUUAGGUUGGCACAGAGUACUGAGUGGACGUUUGUGCACAACUCUGCGUGAAUGUGUGUGCGUGUGUUUGUGUGUUUCGGUUUUCUUCCAGUCUGACGAGGUGGACCUCGGUACUCUAACUACUGUCACAGGACUUGCUCCCUGACUUUUUGUGGCCAGAAUCUUGUUCUCUUUGCUCCUAUCUACAAAGUCAUUAUCUUGCCGUGUGAAGUGAAGUGAACGCUUUUGGCAGUUUCUGCUUUUUUAUCUGAUUGUUAUUUUAGCAGAGAUGACACAUAAAAUAAUAAUAAUCCGUAAUCAUAUAUUUGUUAGGUUGUUGUUGGAUAGUGUCGCUGAUAGGUCUGACCUCUUUCUGCUCUCCGGGGUUGGUUCUGUCUGUUGUCUUGGUUGGGUUUUUUUUUUAUCCCUCCCAGCACCAAAUGUGGUGUUGAUUCGAUUUUUUUGGGGUUUUUUUUUGACUGGAGUACAAACAUCUGAAGAUCCCUCCUUUGUGGCAAGAUCCAUGUGUACUUUGGUCAGGUUUUGAUGUGCCUGUGUUUUUUCUUUUCUCCUGCCAUUUUCAGUUCCUCCCAACGGUCCCAGCACAUUCGUGUCCAUAUAUAUUGAUACAUACUUCAUCGCUACUACAGUGCAUGCAUAAUCUUUUGUACACCCUCCACUCUUCCCCUAGUAGAGGAAUCAUUGUAGCGCAGCACUAAAACGGUUGGCAGAGGAAGUGAUGAUUUUACCAAAUGUGUGAGAACUAUGUUUAGUUUUGUUUCAUUGUUGAUAAAUUAUUGACAACUACUACUGUAAAUGUAAUCAGUAUGUUGUAUGAGGAGUUGAAGACUGUGUACAUAAACUCUUUAAAAAAAUGACACCACAUGAUUUUAUGCCGAAGUGGAUCUGUAAAUAUAUAUAUUUGCUCUUGGUUUCAAGUUUGUAACAGAAGAAUGAAGACCGCGUGUGAGUGGUUGCUUAGUUGGUGGGUGUGUGAGUUUGUGUGUGUGUGUGUGUGCGCGCCUGUGAUUAUUCCAGCAUUUGCUGGUAGCGCUUCAAAGAUUUGUUGCUGUGUGGUCAAAGUGUUAAGAGCAUCAGGUGGUGGCUUUGAAUUUAUAGAGUGAUUGCUUUCCUGAACACAAGUCUCGUGUUUGAAUCCAACUCUGGUGGUAUUCAAUGUAUCCAACUGCAGUUUGAGGCAAUUGAUACUGACUCCAAGAAUGCAAUGGGUGAACUUUCUUUAUAUAUAUAUAUAUGAAUGUCAGCAGAGAUUAUGUGUACGUGUGGAAUCCAACAGUGUUUGUUGGGUCUGUUUAGAUGCUUGGAUUUUUUGUUUUUUUUCCCAUUGUGGUGUGAAGAACGUCUGGCUACCUGGUGGAACGUCUAUCUGCAGAUCUAUCCUGGGCAAUGUGAGAUUGUCUUUGAAAGCAUUCUUUUGUAUUACAUUAGAGUGAGAUUUCAUCACUAAACUAUUUAGGGAUUUGGGUAGAGUAGCUGUGUGGCCGUACGUGGAAAAGUACGAUGUUUGUGACUGCUCCGAGUGCAUGUAGCUGUCAACACUACACUACUGUAAGUGUUUUCUCCCAGGUCCAAGACUCUGUUGUAUAGGGGAGGCCUUAACACUUUCCACCCACGCGGCAUGCAGAGCGCGCAACACACUUAUCCCCACGGACCAGGAUACACGCUAUAUCACACCGUCGCCGAUCGGCGUCCCAUGGGGGAAAGGGACGGCUUCUUACCGUCGGCGAUCGGCGUCCUGUGGGGGCAAAGUGUUAACAGGUCUAGACCUAGCCACAGAUGUGUGUGACAGGUGUAGACCUAGCCACUGAUGUGUGUGACAGGUCUAGACCGAGCCACUGAUGUGUGUUGGUAGCUCUGUGUCAUGAACUGUGCACAAUCAGAGUGUUGUACAGUGGGUGUCGCAUUCAACGAGAAGUCGGAUCCAAUGAGGACAGCAAGCCGGUGCGGGCAACCUCGUUGAAUGCGACACCCACUGUGAUGGGAAGGCCUUAACUAACAGGUCUAGACCUAGCCAGUGAUGUGUGUUGGCAGUUCUGUGUCAUGAACUGUGCACAAUUAGAGAAAGAGGGAGGAGGAGGCAACACAAGCGCUGGUGUGUUCUUUUAAGUCAUGUGUUUGUUUUUAAAAAUAUUCUUUGACACUGGAACCCAUUAUGUAUACAAAAUAAACUUGACACUGUGAAGAAAGAAGCAG